AAUAAGCCCGCGCGUGGCGCCCGGCCCAGAAAGGUACAAUAACUGUAUAUUUUAACUUAAUGGUUUUUUGGGGGGCAUGCAAAUUUCUGUGAGCAGAUUGUGUUGAGGCCUGGGCUUGGAGCGGCCUCCCUGAGCCCCAGAAGCCCCCCGGAGCACCCCCGGCUCAGUGAAGGUUGCCCGUGUCAAAAUCGAGAUAUCAAACACCGAGGCUGAAAGACAAGUUGAAGAACCUGCCAGAAGCGCUCCGUGGCAGAGAUUAAAACAAUUUCAGAAGCAGGCACCCAGCGCUUCUCUUUGGAUGACUCCUCCUCCUAAAGGUUCAUCCACCUAUCAAUAGCGCCACCAGCUGGGGAGCAGAUGAACAACACAGGAACUCUGGGAAUCCAGUUCAGAUCUGAGUGUAUUGGAGGCAGGACUCAGAGGAAUGCGGCUGCACCAGGUAAAAGUGAUUGGUCUUUCCCUCCCCAGUCCUGUGAUGAGAGGCGCACAUCACCAUGCUGCAUUCGUGGGGUACUAGGCGUCAAACUCAGGGCUUCCUGUAUCCUAGGGCAAGCACUCGACCAACUGAGCCCCACCCCAGCCCUACUGAUUGGUUUUUAGAUAUGGAACCCACACUUAUACUCCUAUAACAGAUCUCAUUUGCCGUUCUGAUAUACACUCCUUGUAGUUUGCUAAAUGGGUUCAAUUUGCUAGUGUCUCAUUCAAGGAUUUCUGUACCUAUAUUCAUUCAAUAUACUUACUGAUGUUUUCUUCUUGCUUUGUGUUGGGAAGAAUACUGACCUUGUUUAAUGAAUAUUUUUAGAGAUCUCUGAGCAGAAUCUGUGUUAAUUAUUCUUUAAACAUUUGGGAGAAUUAUUAGGAAAGCCUGACUCUGAGCUUUUAUUUGUUAGAAGCCAUUUAAUUGCCCAUUUAACAUAUCAUUAUUAUCAUCAUCAUUUUUAUUGUGGGGAGUGGACUAGGUCCUGAGUGAAUGUGUAUUGUUGGACCAAUGCCUCAGACCCAUGAAAAUGGCAAAGCCUUCCCCUGUCUACGUGUGUGUGCAUGUGUGUGCAGGAAAUGUCAACGGCAGCUUCCCCCUCCCAGAUGUUUAUAACUAGAGUCUUAUCCUUAGAGACCUUCCACUGAGACUCGAUAACCCUCCUCCUUUCACUGUACCUAAUGAAUGUCCCGAGUUUCCAGAUUGUGUAGUAGAUGCCCUCCAUCAGAGCAAGUGCAGCCCUCCCAGUUCCAGAUUGUUUCUGUGUACCUGCUAUUUCUUCAUUCUCACCUUUCCCCAAGUCAUGUUUUCAGGACCAAGCCAUGCAGGAUGUUGCAUGUCGUCGUCAUCAUCAUCAUCAUCACCACCAUCAUCUAUGGAUGAGCAAACGUUUUGCCUCCCUGUAUGUCUACACAACAUGUGCAAGCAAUGCGCAGAGGCCAGAAGAAGGCUCUGAAGUUGGAGUUCUAAGUGGAUGGUUCUAAGCACCCAGAUGCUGGUGCUGGGAACUAAGAGCAGUACAUACUCUCAACCCCUGACCCAUCUCUCUAGCCCCUUUUUAAUGAAGGAGUUCACAGCUCGAAUUUUCCCUCUGAGCAUGCUUUACCACUCAUAAAUGUUGGUGUGUUGUGUUUCGGGGAGAUACUUUGUAUGUUUUCUAUACUUCACUCCAUUAAAUCUCAUUUUGUAGUUGAAUAUACUGUUUACCCUCAAGAAUGUUCCAUAUCAACUGGGAAGCAAUGGCCCAUCCGCCAUUGCUGUCGCAGGUGGAGUGGAGUGUGAUACACGGGUGUCUGCUGAGUUGCCUGUCUUCGCUGAUGCCUUCAGGCCUUGGCUUUCUUCCUCUUUCUCAUUGUUCUUUCCAUUAUUGACAAUCCUACAUUGAAGCUCCAGCUAGGAAGGAAGAAUUCUGUCUUCCAAUUCAAGUUGCUAGCAUUGCUUCCUCUAUUUUGGAGCUCUGUCGUUAGGUGCACAUAUGUUAAUAAUCACAAUGGCCCCUUUAUCAUUUAAUGUAUUUCCUUGUGUUUAAAAAAAUUCCUCUCUCUCUCUCUCUCUCUCUCUCUCUGUGUGUGUGUGUGUGUGUGUGUGUGUGAGAGAGAGAGAGAACAUUUGCCAUACUGUGGAUGUGUGUAUGUGCAGUUCAGAGGACCUGGGGAUUGAGUUUGGAUGGCCAGCCUUAGAGGCAGGCACCUCCCCACUGAGCCAUCUUCAUUUCUGAUAUCAGCACAUGAGUUCUAUCUCUCUUAGACUACUUUUGCACACAGAAUCUUUCUCUACCCUUUUACUUUCACCCUAUUUCUGUCUAUUCAUUUAAGAUGAAUUUCUUAUAUACAGUAUAUAGUCAGGUCAUUUAAAAAGCCCAUUCUCCCAAUCUUCUACCAUUUAAUUGGAUAGUUUAACCCACUUACAUUUAAUGUAAUUAUUAUUAAGGAAUAAUUUACUUUUAUAAUUUUACUCCAUUACUGUCUUAUUUUUAUUACAUAAACCAUCUUCAUUUCUUUGUCAUUUAUCUCACUGUACAUUUUAAAGUUAUUUUUAUAGUAUUUUCCCUGGGGAUUACAAUUAAAGUAUAAUUUAUAACAUUC
ensembl:lincRNA C230014O12Rik RIKEN cDNA C230014O12 gene